rnacentral:rRNA from 1 species
UACGGGGGGGGCAAGCGUUGUUCGGAAUUACUGGGCGUAAAGCGUGCGCAGGCGGUUAUGUAAGACAGUUGUGAAAUCCCCGGGCUCAACCUGGGAACUGCAUCUGUGACUGCAUAGCUAGAGUACGGUAGAGGGGGAUGGAAUUCCGCGUGUAGCAGUGAAAUGCGUAGAUAUGCGGAGGAACACCAGUGGCGAAGGCGGCGACCUGGGCCAAUAUUGACGCUGAGGUGCGAAAGCGUGGGGAGCAAACAGG